UACGGGGGGGGGUAAGCGUUGUUCGGAAUUACUGGGCGUAAAGGGCUCGUAGGCGGCCAACUAAGUCAGACGUGAAAUCCCUCGGCUUAACCGGGGAACUGCGUCUGAUACUGGAUGGCUUGAGUUUGGGAGAGGUGAGUGGAACUCCGAGUGUAGAGGUGAAAUUCGUAGAUAUUCGGAAGAACACCAGUGGCGAAGGCGACUCACUGGCCCGAUACUGACGCUGAGGCGCGAAAGCGUGGGGAGCAAACAGG
rnacentral:rRNA from 1 species